AGAGUUUGAUUCUGGCUCAGAAUGAACGCUGGCGGCAGGCCUAACACAUGCAAGUCGAACGGAAACGACAAGAACAAACUCUUCGGAGGGCGAUCUUGGGCGUCGAGUGGCGGACGGGUGAGUAACGCGUGGGAAUCUACCCUUUAGUUGGGGACAACAUAUGGAAACGUAUGCUAAUACCGAAUAUGCUCUACGGAGUAAAGGUGGCCUCUACUUGUAAGCUAUCGCUAAAGGAUGAGCCCGCGUUAGAUUAGCUAGUUGGUGGGGUAAAGGCCUACCAAGGCGACGAUCUAUAGCUGGUUUGAGAGGAUGAUCAGCCACACUGGGACUGAGACACGGCCCAGACUCCUACGGGAGGCAGCAGUGGGGAAUAUUGCACAAUGAGGGAAACCUUGAUGCAGCCAUGCCGCGUGUGUGAAGAAGGCCCGAGGGUUGUAAAGCACUUUCAAUUGUGAGGAAAGGUUAGUCGCUAAUAUCGGCUAGCUGUGACGUUAACUUUAGAAGAAGCACCGGCUAACUCUGUGCCAGCAGCCGCGGUAAUACAGAGGGUGCAAGCGUUAUUCGGAAUUACUGGGCGUAAAGCGCGCGUGGGCGGACUGUUAAGUCGGUUGUGAAAGCCCUGGGCUCAACCUAGGAAUUGCAUCCGAUACUGGCAAUCUAGAGUUUAGGAGAGGGAAGUGGAAUUCCUGGUGUAGCAGUGAAAUGCGUAGAUAUCAGGAGGAACAUCAGUGGCGAAGGCGACUUCCUGGCCUAAAACUGACGCUGAGGUGCGAAAGCGUGGGUAGCGAACGGGAUUAGAUACCCUGGUAGUC
rnacentral:rRNA from 1 species